rnacentral:rRNA from 1 species
CGUGAAGUUGACCGCCUGGGGAGUACGGCCGCAAGGUUAAAACUCAAAGGAAUUGACGGGGACCCGCACAAGCGGUGGAUGAUGUGGUUUAAUUCGAUGCAACGCGAAAAACCUUACCCACCUUUGACAUGUAUGGAAGACUGCAGAGACGCAGUUGUACUCGAAAGAGAGCCAUAACACAGGUGCUGCAUGGCUGUCGUCAGCUCGUGUCGUGAGAUGUUGGGUUAAGUCCCGCAACGAGCGCAACCCUUGUCAUUAGUUGCUACAUUUAGUUGGGCACUCUAAUGAGACUGCCGGUGACAAACCGGAGGAAGGUGGGGAUGACGUCAAGUCCUCAUGGCCCUUAUAGGUGGGGCUACACACGUCAUACAAUGGCUGGUACAAAGGGUUGCCAACCCGCGAGGGGGAGCCAAUCCCAUAAAGCCAGUCGUAGUCCGGAUCGCAGUCUGCAACUCGACUGCGUGAAGUCGGAAUCGCUAGUAAUCGUGGAUCAGAAUGUCACGGUGAAUACGUUCCCGGGUCUUGUACACACCGCCCGUCACACCAUGGGAGCGGGUUCUGCCAGAAGUAGGUAGCCUAACCGCAAGGAGGGCGCUUACCACGGCAGGGUUCGUGACUGGGGUGAAGUCGUAACAAGGUAACCAAGGGC